UGGCAAUAAAUGAAGGAAGGUCGGCCCGGA
rnacentral:piRNA from 1 species